GUUGCACCAAUUUGUAAGUCGCUCUGGAUAAGAGCGUCUGCUAAAUGACGUAAA
rfam:Salmo salar isolate Sally breed double haploid chromosome ssa29, whole genome shotgun sequence.